AGAAAGACCAGAAUGGGCUCAAGGGCAGGUUCAUCACUGAUCUUAAAGGUGACUCUGAAGAAGGACCGGUUACUAUUGGAUGAUCCGGACUGUGUUGAGUAGAUGUCACCUGUCAAAGAGCAUGUGCUGAAUGAGGAGCAGAGCGUUUGUGCCCCGCUGAAGGAGUUAAGGAGGUAUUCA